GAGCCGUCUCCUCUACCUAGUAGUUGAAGAAAAAAGGCAGAUCGAAACGACAAAAGUAAUAAUAAUAUACCGGUAUAAUUAUUAUUAUUAGUUAGUUCGCAGCGAUCGCUAGCGCUCUGGCUACUGAGUACUUGUAGUUUGGGUGGUGCAAAAUGGGAGCUUAAAGGUUGGACGCUCGCUUGCUGCUGCGACAAGUAUUACAGUAUUAGUUGGCGAGGGUACUGCUAGCGCCUAAGCAGCCUAGUGACUGUGCUACUGCACAUAGAUUAGAACUACGAUACGAGUCUUCUCGUAACCGGCCACACGGCACAACGCUUCUUCUUCGAACAACUCUCGGAUCUGAUCAAUACCGGGUCGGAGGUACACCUGAGGCUGCUAUUCUCGCUAAACAGCACCACACCGGCAUUCUAAGGCAGGCGCACCUCGCAAGAAAAUGGCUGAGGCAGGAGUGGACGACGCUGUGGAUAGGCGUGUGGAGCCGGGACAAGGUGAUGUCCCUGGCCAGGCCAACGACACACCUGAGGCAGAUACUGGCGGAGCUCAGGCCAACGCUGCAAACGUCACGCCACGGCGGCGUAUACAGACGCUAAAGGACUACACUCCCGAGAACAAUCCACACCACCCUGAUGUGCAUCUUGUCAUGAAGAAUCUGCGCCACAUUGGUGACCAUGUCAAUAACUUCCGCUAUGACAUGGGCAAGUUGGAAGAAGGCCACCAUCAUCAACCGGAUCAGACGGCAGCCCUGCCUGGGUCGAGAUCACACUCAGAACCACUCAGUGAGCAGUACACGCACCGGCAUAGUAAAACUGAUAAGAAGACAUCCUUACCUGAAGACCCUGCAUCGUCUGGAAAAUAGUGUCAGACAAAUCCAAAUCCCAUACAGUGCACACUGCACACUGCGCACACACACACACACACACACACACACACACACACACACACACACACACACACACACACACACUCACACACACACAGACGUGCCCUAUCCGGCUAUGUUCUCCUGCUGCGUCCCGCAUUAGCACUUGAUCAUGAUUACAUCCUUUUACGUUAUCUUGUCCUAAAUGCUUGCUCACCAUUGUCGUUUGCUGAUACUGUUUUACACUGGGAUUAGAUUAUGAGGCUAGCUGCUGAGAGGCUGCUGAGAUUUCUGCAAUACACUGUGACCACCAUUAAUUUUUAAUAUAAUUUUUUAUAGUUUA